UCAGACAUGCGAUCUCAGACUAUUGGGCGCUCCUUACAGACAGAUGUUUAUGACCCGAUGACACAUAACUACAUUGUUUCUCAGUUCUGCAAGCUCAAGUACAGAGAUCAUGAGUUUCUCAGGCCAAUUUUGUCCAUGCUGCAUUCGCCUAUUUGCAAUUCCUGACAUAUUACACAGUGGACAGGAUGGAGCAAGCAGCUGCCCUCAGGCACCAUGGCUGACCAACAACCUCAAGGUGAAACUGCAGAAGUUGAAGAUAUGGCCCCCACCAAACUUUGGCCUAGUACCUGCUGCUGAGUCAGAAUACAUCUUGGGACAGAAGAUGCUAGAAGCAAAUAUUUUGAAAUGUCUGAAAGCAAAGGUUAAACAAGUUGACAAUAACAAAUGCGCUGGCUCCAAUGGCCGUUUCCAUUUCCUGCUGUAGAGGGUGUCUUAUUCACUGUGCAAAUAUUUGAAGACUUGGGAACCUACAAAAGAACAAAGAAGAAAUAAACCUUUGUCUGUGGCCUUACUCUUUGACUUAUAUUCAUUAAAAUGAUAGAACCGAAUGA